GUAGGUGAACCUGCGGAAGGAUCAUUACAGAGAGGGGCGUCACGCUCCGGGGGGUCUCGGCCCCCAACUCUCAACCCUGUGACUAUCUACCCUGUUGCUUUGGCGGACCUUGGGGUCAUGCUCAUGCCGGUAAACCCGGCGAGUGCCCGCCGUAAGCCCAUCAAAACUCGUUUUUACCAGUGUCCGAGCUUGAUUUCAAUAAGCAAAACUUUCAACAACGGAUCUCUUGGUUCUGGCAUCGAUGAAGAAC
rnacentral:misc_RNA from 1 species